rnacentral:rRNA from 1 species
CAUGUAGGUGGGAAUGUAAGUCUGUUGUUAAAAUGCGGGGCUCAACCCCGUAUUGCACUGGAAACUACAUUUCUUGAGUGCAGGAGAGGAAAGGGGAAUUCCCAGUGUAGCGGUGAAAUGCGUAGAUAUUGGGAGGAACACCAGUGGCGAAGGCGCCUUUCUGGACUGUGUCUGACACUGAGAUGCGAAAGCUAGGGGAGCGAACG